AUCAAGCUCUGCCCAGCCAUCAAUAGCACUGCCCAAUUUAACGAAGUUGGCCACACUUUCUCCAGCGGGAGCUACCGUUGCAUCUGAGUUGGUACCUUCUUUGUACUGUAGCUGUUUACUUUACCCCCUUUUCAGUUUGCUUCUACAACAGGGUGUGAAUUUCAUAUUUGUACGUAUAUGUUUUGUGAGGCUGGAAUUUAAACCAUGUUUUCGAGUUGUGAUUAUUCAUCAAGGCUGCACAAUCUUUUGCAAGUUUCAUAGUACUGCUCAAUGCUCAUUAUGGAUGAACUGACCUUUAGUAAUUCAUUCACUAUUGAAAGCUGUCAUUACCUUUUCAGUCUAGUUUUCUAGAAUAAGGAGAGGAUCUCCCCUGGCCUCUACACAAUCUUUUGCAAGUUGGCAUUGAAAAUGAUUUGUUUGCUUUCAAGUUGAAACUUGCAAAUUUGGUGACUAGAUGUUUAAUGUAUAUCCCUUUUCUCAUUACCUUCCAACUGCACAAUACAUAUUUGGUUUUUUACUUCCUGUUGAUAGGUGAACUAAAUUGUUCACGGAGAAUCUGGUUAUGGUAUUUUAUUAUACAGAUUCAAACAUAGUUUCUGUUCUUUAACCAAAAGAGUGAUGGAGUAAUUGCUCGCAGGUGAUUGCUUUGCCCCUUGUGUUCCUUUGAUGCACCAUUGACCUUUUUAUUCUUGUAUGACACACAGGUUACUCUUUUCAUCCUCCACAUAGGUUGUCCUAUAAGGAUAGCACAUUUCUGUAAGACAUUAGACAUCCACAUCUAUGCUGGGAAAAGAUUCAAGUCAAGUACACACUUUAUUUCUGGAAACAUGGUAAUCAGGAUGGUUGAACUCGAAUCCAUUUCUCGCUCAUAGGGAUCUCCAAGG
rnacentral:lncRNA from 1 species